rnacentral:lncRNA from 1 species
GGCACCCUUAGCAGAGAAAUGUUGGAGGUGUUUCUUUGGGAAUAAAACAGUGUAAACUAGAGAUUAUAUUGGUCACCCAGCAGGGAAGAGACCUUGCAUUAAGGCUGGCAUAAAGAGAACUUUGUGUGAGAGAUCCACAGCAAAGCAGUCUCCAGAGAAUGUACAAGAGCUCCCAAGUGAGAAGAAAAGAUCACAAGAAUACUUCUCAAAAUUAGAGCAAGGCAAUAAGCAGUUAAUCAGAUCUUCCCUUCACUUCAGCCUGGAAUGACUUAAAACUGCUGUUCAUGAGUUUGGGGAGGCAGCAAGGCAUGAUGUGGGGACAUGAAGUUGGCCCUGCUUCCUGUCUCCCUGAAGGCUUCCAAUCUGAAGCAAGCCUGAGCUGAGGAAGGGAGAACCAUUCAGUUCUGUUUGGCUAUUAUACAAGGUAAACAUUUCAAUUUUGGGAAUGAGGUAGUUUUUAUGAUGAAAUGUGAAGGAAAUGAGCUUUUGUAUAAAAGACUGGCUCAGAGAUUUGUGACUCCUGCCUGUGAUUUCAUCCAAGUGGCAAGGAAAAUACUGUCCCCUAAAAAUAGAAAGAGCACUGAGGGAAAUAAACUUAUUUUAUGAUGCAUCCUACAGAGCCCUGCUUUUUCAGUAAUGAUAACAUUCAGCUGUUAUCAGGACGAACAAACAAUUUUAUACAACUAAAAAUUUAAAUCUUUUCUUCUAGUUCUAGGAAAGGGACCCAGGAUCUUGUCCAUCCAGUAGUAUUCCAUCAUGUAUAAACAUCAUAUUUUCUUUAUCCAUUCAUCGGUUGAUGAACACACAGGCUGCCUCCAAGAUUUAUUGUGAGCUGUGCUGCUUUAAACAUGGGUAUGUAUGUAUUACUGUAACAUGAUGUCUUUAACUCUUUUGGGAAGAUAGCUAGAAGGGGAAUAGAUGGGUCAAAUGGAAUUUCUAAUUUUAGUUUUUUGAGGAAUCUCCAUACUGGUUUCCAGAGUGGAUGUACUAGUUUAUAUUUCCACAAACAAUGUAGAAAUAUUCCUUUUUUUUCCUGCAAC